UUAUUGAUUCCGGGGUUUCUCUGAAUUUGAAAGUUAUCACUUAGCAAGUUUCCAUACCAAGGCUCAAUUCAAUUAAGUCCGUAGCGCACACC
rnacentral:tRNA from 1 species